rnacentral:rRNA from 1 species
GACAGAGGGUGCAAACGUUGUUCGGAAUUACUGGGCGUAAAGCGCGUGUAGGCGGCUAAGUAAGUCGGGCGUGAAAUCCCACGGCUCAACCGUGGAAGUGCACUCGAAACUGCGUAGCUAGAGUCCUGGAGAGGAAGGUGGAAUGCUUGGUGUAGAGGUGAAAUGCGCAGAUAUCAGGAGGAACACCGAUGGCGAAGGCAGCUCGCUGGGACGUGACUGACGCUGAGGAGCGAAAGCGUGGGGAGCGAACAGG